GAUCCUGCGACGCUUGCAGACGAUUGGUUAUCUACUAUGCAAAUAGUUAGACUUCUACCUGCAGACUUCUUCGAAAAUAAGAAAUAUGAUGUGAAAGUAGAUGAUGUUUACUUCUAUCCGUUGAAUCAGAAUACAUUGCUUGACAAACUGCAUG